UACGUAGGCAGCAAGCGUUGUUCGGAGUUACUGGGCGUAAAGGGUGUGUAGGCGGUUGGAUAAGUGUGGUGUGAAAUCUCCCGGCUUAACCGAGGAACUGCCCUCCAAACUGCUAGGCUUGAGUCCGGGAGAGGUGAGUGGAAUUCCCAGUGUAGCGGUGAAAUGCGUAGAUAUUGGGAGGAACACCAGUGGCGAAGGCGGCUCACUGGACCGGAACUGACGCUGAGGCGCGAAAGCGUGGGGAGCAAACGGG
rnacentral:rRNA from 1 species